AGAAACACCAAAAUAUAAAAUCACAUUCUAUCAGUCUGCCAAUUCUAUCAGAAUAAAAGUAACUAAAAUAUAACUAACGUUUGUCAGAGUUAACUGUUAUCUCUAGAACUAAACGGCAAUAAUUCAAAUGAUAAAAAAAAUAACCGUGUUAAAAUAUAUUAUAUUUUCUUAAAUAGUACACAUUUUUACGAUACAUUUAUAAUGACAAAAAACCAACUAGUUCAUAUGACGACAACGAUAAUUAUUGUAUGAUGGUAGUUGUCUGAAGUCAUAAAAAGCUUAUCGGUAUGCUUAUUCAUUAGAGCGGUUCGAUUCCUGAAACUAUCUCUAGUCUGAUUAAGUGUGGUAACAGUUUUAAGAUGAGUCAAAGAUUCUGGUUGAACAGUUCUCCAUCGACACUAACUGGAAGAAAUAAUUGUUUUAUCAUUUGUCUAAAUAGAUUAGCUAGAAUGUGACCAGAGGAAGAUUAAAUGGACAUAUCAUAUAUUUCUCCAUGGACACUGUAAUCCAUAGACGGAUUUUUGACACUAUAUUUGAAUAUUUGUUGUUGAAGUUAAUUGGAUUUUGUGCAAAACCCCUGGAAGAAUAUUCUGUAUCAGACUAACAUUAUAAAAACCACCCAGUAUUUCUGUUUACCUGCUGUUAGACAUCGUAGUAUCAUCUCCAAUCUCUUUAUAUUUUGUUUAAUUUUAUUUAAAAAAGUCUCAUUAUAAUUUAUUAUUAAUCAACUGUAAUUCAGUUGUUUAUUUAUUGAAUAACUUAUUAUCCUGUCUUCAACGUCCAUAUAAACUGUACUGUAUUUAUGACCACUACACUGAUA